GUAACUACCAAAGAAGCAGAAGUGUCAUUACCUUGCAGCUCAUGUCGACAAAAAGCUACACUGCACAUUUCUCUUAGGCUGCUAAGAGGAAGGAAACACAAAACACACACACACACACACACACACACACACACACACACACACACACACACACACAGAGGCCUCGUUUUCUGCAUGUAAAAUGUGUGUGUUCUUUAAAAGCCAGUGGUUGGCUGGUUUUCCGGACAUGAUGUGGUUGAAGCUGUCAUCGUAAUGGAAAUUCAUUGCUGUAGCUAUGAGACGGGGUUUCAUCAUGUUGCCAGGCUGGUCUCGAACUCCUGAACUCAAGCCAUCCUCCUGCCUCCACCUUCCAAAGUGCUGGGACUAUAAGCAUGAGCCACCAUGCCCAGCCUAUAUUUAUAUUUUUAACAAUAAACAUGAUUUGAAUUUAUAAAUGUGA
rnacentral:lncRNA from 1 species